CUACCAGGAGCUGCUUCACGUCAAGAUGAAGCUGGAGGCCGAGAUCGAGAACUACCGCAGCCUAAUGCACGACAUCGCCCCCGACGACAGAGCCGCCCCAGCCACCUAAGAAAGMCUUGAUGAAGGAUGAGGUGGAUGGAAAGGAGGUCC